rnacentral:tRNA from 1 species
GCGGGUAUAGUUUAGUGGUAAAACUUUAGCCUUCCAAGCUAUUAAUAAGGGUUCGAUUCCCUUUACCCGCU